rnacentral:rRNA from 1 species
UACGGAGGGUGCGAGCGUUGUCCGGAAUCACUGGGCGUAAAGGGCGCGUAGGUGGCGCAGGAAGUCAACGGUGAAAGUUCGGGGCUCAACCCUGAAUCGGCCGUCGAUACUCCUGGGCUCGAGCACUGUAGAGGCAGAUGGAAUUCCGGGUGUAGCGGUGGAAUGCGUAGAGAUCCGGAAGAACACCGGUGGCGAAGGCGGUCGUGCUGGGCAGCUUGG